rnacentral:tRNA from 1 species
GGCGCCGUAGCCAAGCGGACCAAGACGGGGGCCAGCAAAGCCCCUACUCGUUGGGUUCGAAUUCCACCGGCGCCU